rnacentral:rRNA from 1 species
AUUGAACGCUAGCGGGAUGCUUUACCCAUGCAAGUCGAACGAGUGGCGGAAGGGUGAGUAAUAUAUCGGAACGUGCCCCGUAGCGGGGGAUAACUACGCGACAGAGUGGCUAAUAACGCAUACUAAUGGAGCGGCCGAUAUCGGAUUAGCUAGUUGGGGGGGGACAGGCUCACAAAGGCAACGAUCCGUACAUGGUUUGAGAGGACGACCAGCCACACUGGGACUGAGACACGGCCCAGACUCAUACGGGAGGCAGCAGUGGGGAAUGUUGGACAAUGGGGGAAACCCUGAUCCAGCCAUCCCGCGUGUAUGAGAAGGCCUUCGGGUUGGAAAGUACUUUUGGCAGAGAAGCGGUAUCUGCAGAAUAAGCACCGGCGAACUACGUGCCAGCAGCCGCGGUAAAC